AGGGAAAAGGCUGCUCAACAGUCGCUGCUGCUGAGGUCCGCUGAGGAAACAAGGAGCAGAGAUGGGGAACUUCAAGCUGUCACUCCUGAACUUUUCACCAUUUACUAAAACCAAACAAACAGAAGAAUCAUAGAAUUCAAAUCAGAGCAUGGCCUACCCGUCAAAAUCCUAGACCUACAAAAAUCAAAACAGGACUUUUCCUGGGAGCAGCAGAUCCUACCUUGCUGAAGACCAACAUAUCUGGUUGGGUGAGAUCAAAUGGUGUCAAGAAAGAUGAAGUCCAAAUCUCCCUGAGAUAAAUCAUUCACUACACUUCAAAUAUAGGAACAGGUACAUGAGUUUACUGUCAAAAUGAUAUCAUUCAGACAAUAUAAGAAUAGUACAAAAUCAGACCAAAGGUUCCCCUAGUUCAGUAUCGUCUGAUAAGCAGUAGAAGAACAUAAGUACUAUCUUGAAGCUGGAUAAAUUCUAGGUGGCCUUUUCCUGAAACAACUUUCCAGCUUCAAGUCACGUAAUAGCAUGAAGGAACUGACACAAAGGGUAUAUGUAGAGCAUCAUGUUCAGUAGCCACAAAUGUAUUUGUCCUCUGAAUUUGUUCAGUCUGGUUUUUAACCUGUUUCUUCCCUUGGCCUCUUCAAAACCCUGUGGUGCUGAAUUUCACAAUUAUAUGCUGUGGGGAAAGGUGUUGCUUUCUGUUUGUAUUAAAGCUAAUUUAUUAUGGCUUAUAAAUUCAUUGGGUGCCUAUUAGUUCUUGUGUUGCAAGAAAUAAAUAUUCACUUUCUCUGUUUCA